AUUUAUUUCAUUCACACACAAAAAAAAUGGUUCCAUGGUGCAAAUGUUUCUUUUAUGUGUUCUUGUGUUUGGUUGUUCUCUUGAUCGUAGAUGUUCCGGAAGUCGAAGGACAUUUUGUGAUAGGUUCUUGCUCGAAAAUUCCAGACUGCCACACAAAAUGUAAUGAAAUGGGAUUCCGUCACGGAAGAUGUUUUGAAGAGGAACGCGGUGCCCCGGAAAAAGCAUGUGGUUGCUAUAGAAAUAUGUAGUCACAUUUUCUAAGAUAUUGCAUUGUAGGAACAUGUAGUCUUUAUAAUAAUAGUAAUAAUAAUGAUAUUAUCUUAGGGUAACUUUAUUGUAUUUGAUGCAACCAACAAGUUUGUAGCCAAUAAUUAUUUUGCAAAUCAAGUUACUAUUUCAUAGAAA